UGGUUUCGACAUUUAAAAUUAGUUAAUAUAUGAUUCAGGUCGAAGUGUACUCUUCGUAAAAAUCUACAAAUAUUCCAAUUAAAUGCUAACAAUAUUAUUUCAUUUGUUUAUAGAUUAGUAAGUUUUAUUGCUGUUAAAAACUAUUCAACAAGAUUAAAAUUUGCUUUCUAAUAUAGUAUAAAAAAUUGUUCACUACAUAUAGACGUUUAAGUUCUGGUAGUUUAGAAUAACUCUAUAAAUCAUUUGUUCUUUGUAACUAAACCUGUGAACGAGUAUAUUAAAAAAUUUUAGAUGGACAUGGGUUCAAUUCCCAUCAGUUCCA
rnacentral:tmRNA from 1 species